UACAGAGGUCUCAAGCGUUGUUCGGAUUCAUUGGGCGUAAAGGGUGCGUAGGUGGCGGGGUAAGUCAGAUGUGAAAUCUCGGGGCUCAACCCCGAAACUGCAUUUGAUACUGCCUUGCUCGAGUACUGGAGAGGAGAUUGGAAUUUACGGUGUAGCGGUGAAAUGCGUAGAUAUCGUAAGGAAGACCGGUGGCGAAGGCGGGUCUCUGGGCCGAUACUGACGCUGAGGAGCGAAAGCGUGGGGAGCGAACAGG
rnacentral:rRNA from 1 species